CCUACGGGUGGCAGCAGUGAGGAAUAUUGGUCAAUGGCCGCGAGCCUGAACCAGCCAAGUAGCGUGAAGGAUGACUGUCCUACGGGUUGUAAACUUCUUUUAUAAAGGGAUAAAAUCAGGCACGUGUGCCUGUUUGAAUGUACUUUAUGAAUAAGCAUCGGCUAACUCCGUGCCAGCAGCCGCGGUAAUACGGAGGAUCCGAGCGUUAUCCGGAUUUAUUGGGUUUAAAGGGAGCGUAGAUGGGUUGUUAAGUCAGUCGUGAAAGUUUGCGGCUCAACCGUAAACUUGCAAUUGAAACUGGCAGUCGUGAGUACAGGUGAGGUAGGCGGAAUUCGGAGUGUAGCGGUGAAAUGCUUAGAUAUCACGAAGAACUCCGAUUGCGAAGGCAGCAUACUAACCUGCCACUGACAUUGAUGCUCGAAAGUGUGGGUAUCAAACAGGAGUAGAUACCCGUGUAGUC
rnacentral:rRNA from 1 species